GGUCGUCUAAUUCAAGUAGGGUUAUGAUAGCUCACAUGUGGUAUUAACAAUUCAUAAGAUUUACGGGUUCUAACUAUAAAAUAGCGAGUGAUGUCUAUUUAGCUCACUGAAAUUACUUUAACUAUGGAAAAAUACUUGUACGUCUUCAUAUUAAAAAGGGUUUUAUGUUCAUUUAAAAUCAUUUUUUAUAUCAAUUACAAAUAUUGCUGUAUAUUUUCUGUCUUAGUAUUUAAGACACAUCAUUCAUUACGAGAGUUUUUCUCAAAUCAGAAAGGGUUUUAUGCCAAUUUGAAACCACCUUNCGAGGCCGUCUAAGUCAAGUAUGGUUAUGAUAGCUCACAUGUGGUAUUAACAAAUCAUAAGAUUUACGGGUUCUAACUAUAAAAUAGCGAGUUAUGUCUAUUUAGCUCACUGAAAUUACUUUAAGUAUGGAAAAAUACUUGUACGUCUUCAUAUUAAAAAGGGUUUUAUGUUCAUUUAAAAUCACUUUUUAUAUCAAUUACAAAUAUCGAUGUAUAUUUUCAGUCUUAGUAUUUAAGACUACACACCAUUCAUUACGAGAGUUUUUCUCAAAUCAGAAAGGGUUUUACGCCAAUUUGAAACCACUUUUAUAUCUUUAAGUAUGACAAAUACUUGUACUUUUUCGGUACUGGCAUUUAGGACCACAUAACUUUUAUAAGGAAAAUAUUGGAUUUUUCUUGGCAACAUACAUCUCUUUACAAAGAUCGAUUUUUAAACUCUCACUGUCAAAAGCUUAUGAACUCACCAACCUUUGUGUUGACACUUUUCAAAACUACUUGUAUUCUCAGGAAUUCAGUGAAAACAGGAAAUCAACAACGUUUUGAGG
rnacentral:lncRNA from 1 species